AAAAAAGUAAGUUAUUUCAAAACUAUUUGAUUCAUGAUCAAACAAUACAUUUUAUAUGUCUUUUUUA
rnacentral:tRNA from 1 species